rnacentral:rRNA from 1 species
UAAAACAGUUAUAGUUUAUUUGAUCAUCACCUUACUACAUGGAUAACUGUAGUAAUUCUAGAGCUAAUACAUGCGUCAGAACCCGACUUCACGGAAGGGUCGUGUUUAUUAGAUACAAAACCAACCUGGGUUCGACUCAGAGCUUGUUGGUGAUUCAUAAUAACCAAACGGAUCGGCGUUCUCGCCGACAAAUCAUUCAAGUUUCUGAUCUAUCAGCUAUCGACGGUAGGGUAUUGGCCUACCGUGGCUUUGACGGAUAACGGAGAAUCAGGGUUCGAUUCCGGAGAGGGAGCCUGAGAAACGGCUACCACAUCUAAGGAUGGCAGCAGGCGCGCAAAUUACCCAAUCCUGACAUAGGGAGGUAGUGACGAGAAAUAACAAGGGAAAACUAAUAGUUUUCUCAUUGGAAUGAGUAGAUUUUAAAUCUCUCUACAAGUAUCAAUUGGAGGG